rnacentral:tRNA from 1 species
GCCCAAGUGGCGAAAUGGCAGACGCACCGGACUUAAAAUCCGUUGGGAUUAAUAUCCUGUGCCGGUUCGAGUCCGGCCUUGGGCA